AACGAACGCUGGCGGCAGGCUUAACACAUGCAAGUCGAGCGCCCCGCAAGGGGAGCGGCAGACGGGUGAGUAACACGUGGGGAUCUGCCCGAUGGUACGGAAUAGCUCCGGGAAACUGGAAUUAAUACCGUAUGUGCCCGCAAGGGGAAAGAUUUAUCGCCAUCGGAUGAACCCGCGUCGGAUUAGCUAGUUGGUGUGGUAAAGGCGCACCAAGGCGACGAUCCGUAGCUGGUCUGAGAGGAUGAUCAGCCACACUGGGACUGAGACACGGCCCAGACUCCUACGGGAGGCAGCAGUGGGGAAUAUUGGACAAUGGGCGCAAGCCUGAUCCAGCCAUGCCGCGUGAGUGAUGAAGGCCUUAGGGUUGUAAAGCUCUUUCGCCGACGAAGAUAAUGACGGUAGUCGGAGAAGAAGCCCCGGCUAACUUCGUGCCAGCCGCCGCUGUAAAAC
rnacentral:rRNA from 1 species